rnacentral:tRNA from 1 species
GCCAGUUUGGUCUAGUGGUUAAGACAUCAGGCUAGAAACCUGGAGACCAUGAGUUCUAACCCCACUUUAGGCA